CCUACGGGAGGCAGCAGUAGGGAAUAUUGGGCAAUGGGCGCAAGCCUGACCCAGCAACGCCGCGUGAAGGAAGAAGGCCCUCGGGUUGUAAACUUCUUUUAUUCGAGACGAUACAAAUGGCGGUACCGAAUGAAUAAGCCACGGCUAACUACGUGCCAGCAGCCGCGGUAAUACGUAGGUGGCAAGCGUUAUCCGGAUUUACUGGGUGUAAAGGGCGAGUAGGCGGCGGAGCAAGUCAGACGUGAAAUGCCAGGGCUCAACCCUGGAACUGCGUUUGAAACUGUUCUGCUGGAGUGAUGGAGAGGUAGGCGGAAUGCCGGGUGUAGCGGUGAAAUGCGUAGAUAUACGGAGGAACACCAGUGGCGAAGGCGGCCUGCUGGACAUUAACUGACGCUGAGGCGCGAAAGCGUGGGGAGCAAACAGGAUUAGAUACCCGGGUAGUC
rnacentral:rRNA from 1 species